AUCCCAUGAAAUAGGCACAACCUCACUAAGUCCUUAAAAUUCUCCCAAGCGUCAAAUAAUGAUUCCCCUUAUUCUUGCCUAAAAUUCGAUAUCUCACUCCUAAAUU